GGGCCCUGUGGCGGAGUGGUGACGCAGCGGAUUGCAAAUCCGUGUACACCGGUUCGAUUCCGGUCGGGGCCUCCAU
rnacentral:tRNA from 1 species